rnacentral:lncRNA from 10 species
CAAACGUUUACUGAGCGCCUUCAACUUGCCAGGCACUAAUUAGACUAGCGCAGAGAAACGGGGAUAAGUACUGAUGAGGGUCCCAGCCCUCAGCGAUCGGAUUUCAGAGGGGGAGAUAAAGGACUGCCCAGAAGGGUGGUGAGUGGAGUAGUUGAUAUAAACAACGAGGUGCGAUGAAAUACACAGGAGGGCUGCUAAUCACAUAUGGGGUGGGUGCCGAGGGCCCUUAAUUAAGGGAGGCUUCCUGGACGGGUGACACCCAAGCGGAGUCCUGACGACCCGCGUCAGAAGUAGUCAGGCGAGGAGGAGGGUAAAGGAAUCCACGUCCCAAGCAGAGAAGCAGCUUUCCCUACACAGCACAGGACACGGUCCGCGCACAGAAGCCGCAGGAGACGCAGGCACAGGGGCUGGGGAGAAUCCUUGCUGGGCCCUCGCCGUCCAUGCGCCGCCUCCCUCUGCCCGGUGUCUGGUGUCAGCCUCCUGCCUGGCAGAGGAACUCCAGCCCCUGCUCCCCGAAGCUCCUCCAGGCCUUCUGCUUCCCUGACUCGGAAUGGGCCCGCUGUCCAGUGGGUACAAGGCUGGUCUCCCCGCCCACUGGUGACGACGUAAAGAUCCAGCUCAGCCUGGUUUCCCCUGGUGAUGAUAUCUUGCGACUCGUCUUUCUCCAGGAAAACAGGGACCGCUCUCCGCCUACAGAUGGAGUCUCACUCUGUCGCCCAGGCUGGAGUGUAGUAGCGCAAUCUUGGCUCACUGCAACCUCGGACUCCCAGGUUCAAGAGAUUCUCCUGCAUCAGCCUCCCAAGUAGCUGGGACUACAGGCACGUGCCACCACGCCCGGCUAAUUUUUGUAUUUUUAAUAGAGACGGGGUUUCUCCGUGUUAUCCAGAAUGGUCUCGAUCUCCUGACCUCGUGAUCCACCUGCCUCGGCCUCCUAAAGUGCUGGGAUUACAGGCGUGAGUCACCGCGCCCGGCACGCCCGGCUAAUUUUUUUGUAUUUUUAGUAGAGAUGGGGUUUCACCGUGUUCCCCAGGCUGGUCUCGAGCUCCUGAGUCGAGACGGGAUUUCUCCGUGUUUGCCAGAAUGGUCUUGAUCUCCUGACCUUGUGAUCCACCCGCCUCGGCCUCCCAAAGUGUUAGGAUUACUGGCGUGAGCCACUGCGCCCGGCAGAUUUUUCUUUUAAAACGUGGAGAAUAAGAAAUCAGCCCGAGUGUGUAAUGGCGUCAAUAUUGGUGUGGACAAGACAAAGUGAAUGAGGCAAGGAGCGAGGCUGGGGCUCUCACCGCGUCUUGAAUGUAGAUGAGAGUGGGACGGUGAUGGCAGGGAGGAAGGCGACGACAUCUCUUCUCGUCCUUUUGGCUAAGAUCAAGUGUAGUAUCUGUUCUUAUCAGUUUAAUAUCUGAUACGUCCUCUAUCAGAGAACAAUUAUAUUAGAUAGAUUUUUGGAGCAGGGAGAUGAAAUAGGAGCUUGCUCUGUCCACUCCACGCGUCGACCUGGUAUUGCAGUACCUCCAGGAAUGGGGCUCCCUCUCCUGGGAUACAACCUGUUUGCAAGGUUAGAAAGAAAAGACUGCGCCGGGUAGUUUAGGAUAGUUGGUAGGUUUUCUUACUCCUUUAAGUAUCAUAAGGUUCAUGAUUUAUGGAGAGUAUCCUAGGACCCAAAACAAGAAUAUUCAUUUCCAAGUAGGGAACAUGUUCGACUUUACUUGGAGGGCUUUAAAUCUCAGCUUGGCUGUGGAGGGGUGAUGACCUUUCAAAGGGAUGGAUUCCAGUGGUGUGUUGCCCAGGCUGGACUUCAACUUACUCUGUUUGUUUGUUUGUUUUUUGUUUUUGAGAUGGAGUUUAGCUCUUGGUACCCAGGCUGGAGUGCAACGGCACCAUCUCGGCUCACUGCAACCUCUGCCUCCCGAGUUCAGGCAAUGCUCCUGCCUCAGCCUCCCGAGUAUCUGGGAUUACAGGCACCCGCCACCAUGCCCAGCUAAUUUUUGUAUUUUUAGUAGAAACGGGGUUUCACCAUGUUGACCAGGCUGGUCUCGAACUCCUGACCUCAGGUGAUCCACCUGCCUGGGCCUCCCAGAUUGCUGGGAUUACAGGUGUGAGCCACUACGCCCAGCUGAACUUCCUCUUCAGCCCAUGGAGUAGUUCUACUUUAAGGCAGGCACCAAUGUACUGGCUACAAACUUCCUUUUUUCCCCAGGAAAAAUCGAGGCACAGGUAGUUUAAGUUACCGAGGAAUGCACAGGAGCAGAACUCGAGUCCAAGCAUCGUGGCUCCACCCUUCAUGCUUGAUGCUUUUUUAGGCUCUGUUCUAGGUAUGUGUAUCCUUUACGGGAUCAGCCACCGGCAGUUGCCUUGCAACCAUGAUGACAAAUCUCUCCCAGCUUUUUUGGGUCUCAUCCCUGUAUCUAUAAAUUGCAUCCCAGCAUAAAGAUCAGAAUGUGUCUUUUGCUGACCCAAUCUCUCACCCUUUCCAAACUCCAGAAAUCUUGUCUGGCCUUGGCAAAACUACCCGCUGCUUCUUUCUCUAAAGGAUAUCUUCAGUCCGGGCACUGUGGCUCAUGCCUGUAAUCCCAGCACUUUGGGAGGCCCAGGUGGGAGGAUGGCUUGAGCCCAGGAGGCCACAGUGAGGUGAGAUCACGCCAUUACACUCCAGCCUAGGCGGCAAAGCCAGAGCCCCAUCUCGAAACAAACGAACGAACAAACAAAGCACAAAAGAAACAGCCUAGGCAAGGUAGUGAAGCCCUGUUCAGGGUGACGAAUAUCUGUACAACAGCUAUUUCAGAGGCUGAGGCAGGAGGAUCAGUUGAGUCUGGGAGGUGGAUGCUCCAGUGAGCCGUGAUUGCACCACUGCACUCCAGCCUUGGUGACAGAGCCAGACCCUGUCUCAAAUAAAU